UACAGAGGGUGCAAGCGUUGUUCGGAAUUAUUGGGCGUAAAGCGCGUGUAGGCGGCUUGCCAAGUCGGGUGUGAAAGCCCUCAGCUUAACUGAGGAAGUGCGCCCGAAACUGUCGAGCUUGAGUACGAAAGAGGGUCGCGGAAUUCCCGGUGUAGAGGUGAAAUUCGUAGAUAUCGGGAGGAACACCGGUGGCGAAGGCGGCGACCUGGGUCGAGACUGACGCUGAGGCGCGAAAGCGUGGGGAGCAAACAGG
rnacentral:rRNA from 1 species